CCCUUAGAUGUUCUGGGCCGCACGCGCGCUACACUGACGAUGGCAACGAGUUUUUCCUUCGCCGAAAGGUGUGGGUAAUCUUUUGAAACAUCGUCGUGCUGGGGAUAGAUCAUUGCAAUUUUUGAUCUUGAACGAGGAAUUCCUAGUAAGCGCGAGUCAUCAGCUCGCGUUGAUUACGUCCCUGCCCUUUGUACACACCGCCCGUCGCUACUACCGAUUGAAUGGUUUAGUGAGGACUCCUGAUUGGCGCCACCGCCCCGGCAACGGAGCAGCGGACUGCCGAAAAGUUGUUCAAACUUGAUCAUUUAGAGGAAGUAAAAGUCGUAACA
rnacentral:rRNA from 1 species